rnacentral:rRNA from 1 species
CCUACGGGAGGCUGCAGUGGGGAAUAUUGCACAAUGGGAGAAACCCUGAUGCAGCGACGCCGCGUGAGUGAAGAAGGCUUUCGGUGUGUAAAGCUCUAUCAGCAGGGAAGAAAAUGACGGUACCUGAUUCAGAAGCCCCGGCUAACUACGUGCCAGCAGCCGCGGUAAUACGUAGGGGGCCAGCGUUAUCCGGAUUUACUGGGUGUAAAGGGAGCGUAGACGGCAGCACAAGUCUGGAGUGAAAUGCCGGGGCUUAACCCCGGAACUGCUUUGGAAACUGUGCAGCUAGAGUGCAGGAGAGGUAAGUGGAAUUCCUAGUGUAGCGGUGAAAUGCGUAGAUAUUAGGAGGAACACCAGUGGCGAAGGCGGCUUACUGGACUCUAACUGACGUUGAGGCUCGAAAGCGUGGGGAGCAAACAGGAUUAGAUACCCGGGUAGUC